GUGCUCGCUUCGGCAGCACAUAUACUAAAAUUGGAAUGACACAGAGAAGAAUAGCAUGUCCCGUGCGCAAGGAUGACACACAAAUUCAUGAAGCUUCCAUAUUUUC
ensembl:snRNA LOC120094401 U6 spliceosomal RNA